GGAACGCGACCGCUCACCUAGGACCCCGGAGCAGAGAGUGGGUUAGGCGAGGCGGCGACAAGCGGGCGCACGGCUUCCAGCUACAGCCUAGGACAGGGGGCUGGCGGAGUGGAGAGCUGGGCGUGGGCUCCCGAUCUCCGGUCGCGGGCCUCCGCUGGCUCUCCUGGGAGCCUCUGGGCCCGGCCUCGAGCCUUGGCGGCCUCCGACCUUUUGAUCCUCGGCCGCGGGGCUGCGAUCCGGGACGCCCCAGGCGGACCGCGGCCGGCAUUGUCUGCUCCGUGGUGGGAAGAACUUAGAGCAGGCAAGCGCAGGAUCCAGGACGCAGUGUCAGCAGGCCUUAAGUUCCAGAUGCUUGGGCUUGGCGCAGCUAAAUGAGUUCCUCAGUUUCUCCUCCGCCCCCACCCCACCCCCCGAGAGCGCAAUUGCAGCGGGACAGUUACUAGGAUACAGGACAGGAAGACGCGCGCUGGGACCACGAGGGUGUUUCCUAGAGCACCACGCGUGUCCAGUCAUCCUCUGCGCCGCGGACAGCGUGGGCUGUGUAAACUCCGCGUGCGCUAAGCCCGUAGUUCCAAGCUUCUCUUUCCGUCUUCGUCCUGGGGAUUUUGCAGCUGGCUCCGCCGAUUUGGCUUCUGAGAGAGCGAGACCGCGGGUGAAGCGGGGCCGCGGGCCGGGCAGGUUGAGGACCCGUGGGACAGGAAAGAGAAGGGAAAAGAGUUAGAUCCGGGCGGGGGUCCUGGCCAAAGCCGAGGCCCUGCACCUGGCGCAUUAGACCCUCACGAAGGCACGAACCCGGGUCCCCACCAUCUGCGGUCUCUUCGGUGACCGUGUACCGAGAAACGCGACACGAUCCAAUCUGACUUCUGAAACACUGCCCUGGGCCGGGCCAAGGCCGCGGGCCACAGGGACCCCUCUUUCCAACUCUACUGCAGCUCCAGGGGAAGCCUGGCAGGGCGGGGGGAGGAGGAUCUAGGCCUUCUGCAUGCUCCGGGGGUGCGAACAACUGGGGGUGGGGAUCCCACGCCCGCGGACGCCAGGCCUUACGUGCCCAGCGGGGGCGCUGGUAACUGCGCGCCCAGCGCUGGGGAACGCGCGCGGCACGGCGGGCGCGGGCUCAUUGCGGGGGGGGGGGCCCUCCUGCCGAGUAGCACAUUUCUCUGAAAGCCAAGCCCGCAUGUGCAAUUAACGUUUGCCACGCGAGCAAAUUAGCGGGCGCCUUCCAAACGCCAGAGGCCAAACCUGAAAUCAUCAUUCUCACUCUUCUCUUGUAUUUAAUUAUAAUGAUUGUGAAAAAUUGCAGAGGGAAACGGUUAGCUUGCAAUAAAGUAGCAACUGGUUGAA